GUCCUGGUAUUUGACACUUUGGCUUCUGUUGAUGGUCAAACUGGGGAUUCAACUCCUGGGAAUUGAUCCAGGGCUGUGAGUGGAUUGCCAGCAGUUGGCAUGGACCCUGGAGACCUCAGCCAGGCCUAUGAGAGGGCUGCAGGGUGGUCGAUGCUGGGGUCAGCAAGGCGUUGACCUGGGCUUCUUGCUUCUCAUCAGAAUAUGGGAUUGCAGUGGUUAACCAGGGGCCUCUGGGCAGAGGACAUUCAGGCCUAAACCUAGUUGGCAAGGCAGCCUCCCCCACCCCUCCAUCUGGCAGCCAUGGCUGGGACCCACAAUGCAGUGCUCUCUAGUCUGGAAGUGGGGGGUGAGGGUGGGGCCAUCUCUUUAGGACAAAGCUCUGGGGCCCAGUCUGGCCCAACACUGUUCUUGUACAUAAAGUUUUAGAGGGAUACAGCCAUACUUUUUGAAGACAAGGCUAUGUAGCCCAGGUUGGCCUCAAAUUCAUAAUCCUUGGGGUCUUGGGUGUUGCGAUUGCAAGCCUGUGCCGUCAUGCCUGGCUCCAGCUGUGCCUGUGUUUAUGGAUUAACUAAGGCGGCUUUAGGAUCACAAGGGCAGGGUUCAACAGUUGGGACAGCAACCACAUGGCCCACAAGGCUUAGCAUACCGACUGUCUGGCCCUUUGCAGACGGAGCUGCUGGCCUGGGCUUGAACAGAAAGCAGCUGGCAUCAGGACUGGUGGGGUGGGGCUUUCCAAGAGUGAGACCUAAGGAUGGGCUAGGAGCCCUGGGGAGGUUUGGGAGAUGGUAAAGACUCUGAGGUCUGGGUUUGGUUUAGUACAGAUUCAAAAACCCCCUCUCUCCCAGCAGUGCCAGAGGCUGGCUUGUCAAAGGCCAGGACAGCCAUUUGGGGGCUUUUGUGAGAGAAGAAGCUACAGACUGGUACAGAUACAGGGAGCAGUCUCCGGGCGCUUCUGCCUCUGCCAGAGACAGCAUUCGGAGCAACUGGCUCAGACAAGCCUCUUGGACUUGUGGCCCUAGAGGACCAGGCCAUAUGAUUUUCCAAGAGAAGCCAACUUGCAGUUGGGUUUCCUGGGAAAUCUGGUUUUUAUCCAGUUAAUUGCAUUUUUAUGAAGUCACAUAGAGAACAGGCACAGGAAUGCCUGGCUUUCAGGCUUCAAAGUAGGGAACUUGGGGGUGGGUAGGUGGAGAAUGGUUGGAGGUUGGGCUCAGCUAAGCCCCUCCUGCAGCUACAGCAGCCUGGCUGUGGCCCCCAGGCUGGGCAGGAUGGUGUCGGGUUUCUAGCUUGACCUAGCCACCCCUGAGCUGUGGAGAAUUCCUGCCUAGGAGUCUGGAUUUAGGAAUGGGGUGUCAGAGCUCAUAGCCUUGGGUACUCUACCUGUAGUCCCCUCUGAGGAACGCAGAGUGAGUGAGUGAGUGAGACUGUAAGGCGUGUGUUUGUUACUUUGUCAUCCAGGAGCCUGAGAGGUGGGUGGCAGGCAGGGCUGAACAGCACAGGGCUUCCUGGGCAAGGUCGAGCUGGCCAGCCCUUUAAAGGGUGUCUGCACCCCUACUGUGGCUGGGCCACUUUGCAGCAUCCUGGACGUGCCGGCUCCUGUCGACCUGGCUUUUGAGCCUUUUGUGAAAGCGGUUCCCAUCCGGGUGGAUUUCCUACGGCCUCAGGCAGGUGUCUGAGCUGAAAGAGCCAGCAGUGCCAGCACCCAUGACAGACGGGCUGCCCAAGCUGUACAGGACGAAGGGCUAUCUUCCCAUGGGUGCUUGGAGGGGCAAAGCCUGAGAGCCCCUUGACUGUUAGCAUGCCAGGGUGCAGAGGGACUGCACAGGAGCUGCUGGGUUGGUUCUCUUGCUCCCUUGAGCUGUGCAAAGCAGCCAUGAGAUCUCACGAAGGAGCAGUGCCAGAAUCAGCCUGCAAGGCACCUUCUGCCAGUCCCUAAGGCCUGCAGGGAGGGGUGUUGCAGGCAGAUCUCAGCUUGACCCUGCCAUGUUAGUCACCCCAAUAAAGGUGUCAAGAGCUCUCUAGUGGUCCAGCUGGGACUCGUGCAGACUAAGUGUCCCUUUUCUCCCGUGUUAGUGUUUCUUGCAGGCCACUCUUCCUGGCCAAGGCAGGCUGGGCCUUCACAGGUCCCUGUCCCUAGGUGUUAGGCCAUCUCUUCUGCAGAUGGCCUUCUUGUUCUUAUCCCUGCCUUCCAGGUCCCCUUACAAAGCUUCCACCUGGGCUAGGCAUCUGGAAUUCCUUUUAAAGCAAGGAUGCUCAUGCAUAUACAGUAUUACUUUCAUAGAGGGUCUCACUGGGCAGCCCUGGCUGUCCUGGAGCUCACUAUGUAGACCAGGCUGGCCUCAAACUCACAAAGCCUGCCUGUCUCUACAUCCAUAGUGGUGUACUCCACCACACUGACUGCUCCUUUUUUAAGUUUAUUUUUGUGAGCACGAGUGUUUUGUCUGCAUAUAGUUCUGUGUGUCACACAUGGAAGACAAAAGGUGCUGCCAGAUGCCCCGGGACGAGGGUUACAGGCAGUUAUGAGCCUCCAUGUGGGUACGGGGAGCUGACCGCAGCUUCUCUGGAGGAGUAGCCAGUGCUCUCACCUGCUCAGCGACCCCUCCAGCCUGUAAGCGAGUUCUUCGUUUCUCUUGUGCAUACAGGGCUUUUGUUUGUAUGUAUGUCUAUGUCUGGGCACUGUGUGUUUGUCUGGUACCAGAGGAGGUCAGAAGAGGCCAUCAGAACUGGAGUUGCCAGCAGCUAUGUGGGUGCUGGAAAUCAAAACUGAAACUAGUCCCUCUGAAGAGCAGCUAAUGCUCUCAUCUGCUCAGUAUCUCUUCAGCUCCCCGAAUGUGCUUUCUACACACACACACACACACACACACACACACACACACACACACACACACACACACAUUGAAGGAUAAAAUUAAAACUCCAAAAUAAUGAACCUGUUGGGAGGGCAGUAGAAAGGUGUCUUAAUUAAGGGUUGAUACAAUGAAACACUCGGACAGAAAGCAACUUGGAGAGGAGAGGGUUUAUAUAAUGGCUUACACAUCCACACCAUUGUUCAGCAUUGGAGGAAGUCAGGACAGGAACUCAAGCAGGGCAGGAACCUGGAGGCAGGAGCUGGUGCAGAGGCCACAGAGGAGGGCUGCUUACUGGCUUCCUCCCCAUGAAGGUGCUCAGCCUGCUUUCUUAUAGAACCCAGGACCACCAGCCAGGAGAGGAGGUAGUACAACCCACAGUGGGCUGGGCCCUUCCCCAUCAAUCACUAAGGAAAUCUACAGGUUUGCCUGUAUUGAGCAUCUUAAGUUCAGUGCAGGGAAGUCCUGUAUGUAGAAGAACUGCCAUGUCCAGAGGACAUAAGUUUAUAGUUCUCUGCCCCAGCUUCCAAGAUGUUCUCUGAGCUCUGGGGCUAUAAUUUGCCUUUAAUUGUACUCUUUUUUUUUUUAAAUUUAUUUAUUAUAUGUAAGCACUCUGUAGCUGUCUUCAGACACUCCGAAAGAGGGCAUCAGAUCUCAUUAUGGAUGGUUGUGAGCCACCAUGUGGUUGCUGGGAUUUGAACUCAGGACCUCUGGAAGAGCAGUCAGUGCUCUUAACCGCUGAGCCAUCUCUCCAGCCCCUAAUUGUACUCUUUUGUUGCCGUUACUAUUGUUUUGGCGAUAGGUUCUUACUGGCUAUGUAAGCCAGGCUGGCCCGGAACUCACAGAGAUCCACCUUCUGCUUCCUUGUAAGAGUUGAGAUUAAAGACUUGGGCCACCAUGCCAGGUCUCAAUUGGACUCUUAAAGUAGUAAACACUGGAGGGCUUAGCUAUUACUCUUGUGGAGGACCUGGGUUUGAUUCCCGGCAUACAGAUGGUGGCUCACAACCGUUUGCAACUCCAGUUUUGGAAGAUCCAACACCCUCUUCUGACGUCCGUGGAUACCAGGCACACACAUACAUGCAGGCAAAACACUCAUCUAGAUUAAAUAAUUUAAUAUAAAUUCUAAAGUAGUAAAUAAUCUUGAACUUGAACUUUGGGUAUUAGGAGCCUGGCAAAUGGGUCCCUGAGUUUGAAACCAGUUCGGUCUACAUGCUGAGUUCUAAGCCACUCAGAGCUACAUAGUCUAUUAAAACAAACAAACAAACAAACAAAAAUAAACACAAAAAUCAACCAACCAACCAAUCCAACCCGUCCUGAGGGAUGGUUCAGCAGUUAGGAAUUCCUACUGCUCUUGGAUAGGUCAUUAGCAUGCUCCUCAACACCUAUGUCAGGUGGCUCACAACUGUCCGUAGCUCCUGGGUAUCCCACACUGUGCUGUGCUACAGACGUUUCCUGGGAAGACACAACACACGUCUACUCACCCCAGAAAGGGAGACUUGAUAGACCAAAGUAACAAUUGCACCAAUGCCCAACUUGAUACGGCAAUGAGUUUUAUUGGGGUUAUUUACAAGAUUAUGGGAUAGGGGCUACUUACCCUAUCAGAAAUGACACCAAGUCACAGCAGCAAGUGUCUACGCCAGCACAGGUGACAGCUCAUCAAAGCGGGAACGGGAAGCAUGCCACAGGCUGCAGGCAUCGCAGCAGGUCAGUGUCCUUUUCCUGGUGCCCUGUUCUGAUGAUCGUCUAGGCAGCUCAGCUGGUCUCUAAGAGUCAUUGUAGCUUGGCUGGUCUGGGAUCAUCUCUCAGAAGCCUUUAUUUUUGUAACAGCUACACACUACACUUUAAAAAGAAAUCUUUAACUUGGGAGGCAGAGGCGGUGGAUUUCUAAGUUCGAGGCCAGCCCGGUCUACAGAGUGAGUUCCAGGACAGCCAGGGCUACACAGAGAAACCCUGUCUCAAAAAAAAAAAAAAAAAAAAAAAACUUUAUGUCUACAAUCACACAUAUUGUAUGUGUGUGUGUGGUGCGCCAUAGCUUAAGUAUGGAAGUCACAAGACUGUGGGAAUCAGUGCCCUAUUGCUACCAUACGGGCCCUGAGGGGAUGAACUUAGCUAAUCAGCGUUGGUGGCACCUUUCCCUCUGCACUAUCUCCCUGACCCCAACAAAAUAUUAAGCAAAUUCAAGACAAAUAUUACAGUAGAAAAAUGCAUUCACUAAUCAUGCUGCAAAGGGAUAAUAUGUAAAAAGCAUCUAGAAAUAAAACUUGGGAAAACCGGCAAAGGGUACAUAAGCAGGCAUUCCACAAAAACACUAAUUACGGGACUUAGCCACAGGGACUCUGAGAAGCCUCUGCGGUUCCAUCCUUUGUUUCUCCGUGCGAGUGUGGGUGUGGCAUGGAGCGUGUGCAGAGGUCAGAGGUCAGGUUCCAGUAUCAGUCCUUACCUUGCAUUUUGUCUGAGAGAGGGGCUUUUUUGUGACUCUCAUUUGCCACUGUAUAUGCUGGCCAUGAACUGUAUUCUUCUGCUCCCAGUUCCAUCUCACCAUAGGAGCCCUGGGGCCACGUGGGACUUCAGAGUCCUUGCAUCCAAAGGACAAGCUCUCUACCCAUUGAGCAACCUUACCGGUUCUCUUUUAAGUUGGGUCUCCUGUGUGGCUCUGGCUAGCCUGAACUCAAAGAUCUGCCUGACUGGAUUAUAGGUGCAUACUACUACUUGUGCUGGGUUUUUUGUUUUUGCUUUUUUAAAAAGACAGUCUCCAGUGUAGCCCAGGCUGGCCAAGGAUCUGCAGUUCUUCUACCUGGGAUUUCAGGCCUGCACUUGGCUAGUAUGUGACAAUACCGAAACCACUGUGAUGAGCCUAGAAUGUGGCUCAAUGGUUGGGUGCUUGCCUAUAAUUUCUGUAGAUAGUUCAGAUGUUUGGCAUUUCAGGCUGAAAAGAUUAACCAUUGAUGACACUUAGGAAUCACAGGAACCAUGCCCCUGUUCCCUGAUGAUGGAUACCAUUCUGUGGACAACUGGCAGUAUCUGCCAGAAUGUGGACUGUGUGGAAUUUCACCUCUAGAAAUCCAGCCCACCCAUAUGACAAACAAGGGACAAACACCAGCUGUGCAUGGUGGCUCAACACCUGACCCCAGCUACUUGAGAGGCUCAGGUAGGAGUAUUGUGAGUUCAAAGCCAGCCUCAACUACCGGGUGAUUUCAAAGCCAGCCUCAACUACAGGGUGAUUUCAAAGCCAGCUACGUAUUAAAUUCCGGGCCAAUUUUGGCUACAUGGUAAGACCUUAAAUAAAACUGGAAGAACCAAGCAUAGCCUGGGCUACACAGUGCAACUGUCUCAGAAAAACCAAGGGCACUUGCCUAGUCUGUUCAAUGCCCUCAAUUCAGCUGUGCAUCUGUGGAACUGAAAUAAUAUAAGCUUAUCCACCAUGUGUUGAAUAGCAAUAGGCAAGACAGGGCCCAAGUGUUUAUUAUUAUAUUAUUAUUAUUAUUUUGAGACACCCUCAUGUAGCCCAGGCUGGCCUCAGAUUUAAUAUAUAGCAAAAGAUGGCCUUGACUUGGUCCCCACACCUCCUCUCAACUACAAGCAUGACAGGUUUGAACCAGCAUACCCAGUUCACUUGGUGCUGUGGCUGGAACCUGGGGCUUCCUGCAUGCUAGACAAGCACCCUGACAGCCAGUCACAUCCCAAGCCCUAGUGUUCUUUGCAGGGGAAUGCUCUUGUCCUAGUUGGCCCACAGGAUGCUGUGCUAUAACGUGGAGAUGAUGGACCAGGAGUCCCAAGAUAUAAAAA